CCCGGUCAUCUUCGCGCUGCAGGAGUCGCCGGAGCUGAGGGAGAUCAUCGACUCGGAGUUCUGCGACACGGGCUCGCUGUCGGCUGCCAUGGAGCUGGUACAUAAAAGCGGCGGGAUACGGCGGGCGCAGGAGCUGGCCAAGGAGAAGGGCGACCUGGCGCUGCAGAACCUGCAGUGCCUCCCCAGGAGCCAUUUCAGGACCGCCCUUGAGAACAUGGUGAAGUACAACCUUGAGAGGAUCGACUAGAGGAUGGACGGAUCAUUCAGCUGGCCUGUCUGAAGAUGAGGUGCGCCUGCAGGUGGGCCCGGGUUAGCUUGUACUGAAACCCUGCUUGCCAGUAUCAUGUCGAUUUCUCGGAGAUGGUCGGUGCGACAAGGUCACCAAAAACGCCGUCUAUUUUUUUGCAUAUCGUGUAAGUGCAAGGUAAAUAUAUCCACUGUAUAUGCGAAAGAUGGAGCUGUUCUUUUAAUUAGUAGUAUAACAUAAGAUAGCAGUAGUUAUUCUUUUUCUUCCGGUGAAAAGGAAAAACAUGUAAUUCCGUUUAUUUACAGUCGGAAGUAUGAACAUGAGUUAACAUGCCCUGUAAAACCUAGCGUGCGCUAUUCUGGACCGCUGAGACGUGUGUUCGUAUUUUUCUGCUUUGAAAUCAUCUGAUGAGAAUUUACAUACCUAAUGCAUUUCUGAUCGCUCGAUGGAGAGGCCGAGGGUUUGUAUGAACAUCGUUUUCCACGGAAAAGGUGACAAUGAAGAAGAAGAAACGAAUUCUAUAUGAUGACCUCGCAAUUUGCAACCAGAUUGAAAUACUCAAGUAUAUUUCUUAAAUAAAAAUUAAAAGGAAUUUUUCUUGCUUCAAUAUUUGGUUGCCCGAAAGGCAAAUCUUUAUCUCUUUACAUCGAGUAUGAACAUGAGUUAACAUGAGCCGUGAAACCUUUUUUUUUUGCGAGGGACCUAGUGUGCGCUAUUUAUGGACCGCUAACAUGUCCGGUGUUCAUAUUUUUCUGCUGAGAGUUUACAUACGUAGUGCAUUUCUGACCGCUCGAUACAGAGGCCGAGGGUUUGUAGAACAUCGUUUUCCACGGAAAAGAGGAUGAUGAAGAAGAAAACAAAUUCUAUAUGAUGACCAUGCAACUAGACUGAAAAAUUGAAGUAUAGUUCUUAAAUAAAAAUCAAAAGGAAAACUUCUUUCUUCCAAUUUGUCUUUGCCCGAAAGGCAACUUUUUAUUAUCUCUUUACACUCGUGUGGUUCAGAAGUGAAGUAGUGGUAGAUGCCGGACGGACGGGCGGUUGGGUCGGAUGGAUCCAGCUGAGCGUAAACGAACGGACAUGGCGCACGUUAUCGUCGGUGGCCGCACCUUCUCCUUCCUUUCCGCUUCUUCCAAUAAUUAAAUGCUCUUUUAUUUUUAUUUUUAUAUUACAAAAUAAAAUACAGCAACAAGUGGCCAGUGAUGCUCACUUUUUUUGCCUCACAAAACAAAGCAAGACAAAGGAAAAAUACUCGUGAAUGUUAGGAUAGGAUACUCCCGUUCCAAGUAGGCGUAUUCUAUUACUACUACUCCUUCUCAUUGCUUCUCCGUCGGUGGCGCCCAAUUAACCAGUUAAUUAAUCGGUUGAUUAACCACCGGUACGAGUCGCCGACGACGGACGGACGGACGGACGGACGGCGAGGUCGAUCCGUCUAAACGGCCGGUUCUUAAUGACGAGAUCGACGGAGAUGCAAACGCCGCUCGCCGUCGCUUUACUACUUCCAUCUAGCCGCACCGCGAUCAAAACACUUUGUUUUUUUUCUAAAAAAAACUUUUGAUCUAUUCAUCUCGAAUUGUGGCAGUACGACAAAUAAAAAAAAACAUUCAUAUCCAUAAGGCACGUAGCGACGACUACAACCAUUGAAGCGACCCUCCAUCGUUGUGAUGUACAUGGAUAAUGGCAUGAGGAGGUAAAAUUGAUGCAACUACUGCUGCUAUCCAUUCAUUUAGAUUCUCCUAACGCGUGGAGCUGUCAUAUUGUACGUACAAUGUUGGAGAAUCAUUGGGGAGGAGGGACUGGGCUGGGUUGGGUAGUAGAAUUAUUAUCAGUAGAUGGAUUCAUUCAUCUCCUCCACGUGACGGUGCAGGCAGAUGAACGUGAUGGUGUUCUUUUAUUUACACGUUACACACUACGGAAGGAAGGAAGGAAGGCAGAUGGUACGUACCGUCUGAUCGGAUCGUGAAGGUUAAGUCAAAGCCGCAUGUGUGUUGUGUGUGUGCCUUUCAAGGCACGGACGGGUUAUUUUAGCUGGCGUUUCAAUUCCGUCACGGACGCCCGCCCGCCACCUAAUUUCUGCAACUGCACCGACGAGAGAGAGAGAGAGAGAAAGAUGGUGAGCGAGCGCCCGUCACAUGAGACCUACCCCAAACCUACUUCAGCAACUCUGGCUUGCUCAUUUUCUUGUUCCUUUUUUGAAAAAUGAUGUAUGUUAACUAAUAAUGUAAAACAUUCCACUACAAUCAUUACUAUCACACGCGGGCAGGCCUUUUUUUUAGCAUAUACAAAUUUGAAACCCGUAGGGUAGUACCCUCGACCCCUCCUCGAUUCAACUGAAUGAACCAGGUUUUCAGAAUUUCCGGCCCAAAUUGAAUGUUUAGUUCAUCUAAAUUGAACUAAGGUGGUCAGAGGGUUAUCUUGCAACCGUCGCUAGGUGGUCUACGAAUCUAGAUGUAAGUUUUUUUAUUUCUGGUGUUCGCUGUGCUGCCAUGAUUGAAGAUGAAUAGAUCGAAAGUUUCCUGGAAAAAAAACCCUAAGGAGGCCAGAGGGUUACCCCUGAAGGUUCCAAAUUUGCAUCCCUAGGCUUCGUCAUGCAGGAGGGGUACUGCAUCGUGUUACGCUACUCGUGCGUCGAGCUGCAUGAUCUAGCUAGGCCAUCGGCUGCUUCACUAGCGCCAUGGGGGACCUCCCGAGUUCUCUCUGGAGUUUGGAAGUCGCUGAAGCAACAACCGGGUGGUACAUGUACAUGCAACAUCGAACGGUGACUUAGUCAUUCAAAGUGUAUGACGAAUGGAACUGACAAAUGCCAACCGGCCGAUUUAGGGGAAGGAUGGACGAGAUGACAAGGCGUGGACACAAGGUAGGCUCGUCAAGAUCUGCGUAUUUACCCCCUCACAUUUGUUGUAUGAAGCGUGUGUGAUCAGAGGGUGCGUGCUCGCGGUGAUGAGCACAUGCAUGUAUGAUUUUCCUUAUACUCGAAGAUCGCUAUGCGACCUAGAUUAUGUAUGCCCCAAGAGCACGCAUGGGCCAGGAAUCUUUUGCAAGGGGGCCUAUAGUAGAAGAGGUAAAAGGUUGAAGGGAGCCAAGCAUGUAGAUUUAUACCAUUUUGUGCGAACAAUAUAGAGUUCUUUCUAGGAAAGCAAUUUAUAUGGGGGGAGCCAUGGCCCCGACCCACCCACCACUGGCUCUGUCGCUGCUCGAGAGAGCAAUUGAACUGUGAAGUGCUAUACCACUGAUCGGAAAAAAUGUUGGACCCCCUAAGGAGGUAGAAGCGGGGCUUCGAUAUCGCCAAGAGCCAAGCAGAUAGAUAUCCAAUGCUAUUGUUAUUCACGAUUGCCAACGCGAAGCUCCAACCAUUGCAAGGCUUUAGGCAUUUAUUUCCAAGGUUCCAAUCUUUGUUAUGAAUAGAGAAUCUAAUAGAAUGUCUCGUAAAUCUGCAGCAUUACAACAGAGUGUAACAGAGUGCACAUAACGAUACGACGGACAAUGCAACCCCCGCUAAACGACCGUAACUGAUUCUAUGUUUUCCAUAUAGCCCUCUGGUUGGUGAAACUCCUGUGAUACCUUUCACUAGUCUUCUAUUCUUAUAACUUGCUAAUAAUAUUAUUAUGUAAAGUUUUAUCCCCUCGGUUGAUUUAAAACUCAGACCACCGGUAGAUGAGCGGUGGAUAAAGCAGAGAUGCGGAUCGGACGGCGCAGAGGAGUCCAACGAGCACCGCACCGCACCGGCAGCCGCAGGCCGCAGCCCAUGGCAUGUGGCCCAGACGCAACGCAUCUCCUCUCCCUCUCUCUCCCGAUUAAAACCAACAAACAACAACGGCAAGUCGGCAGACAUUCACAAAGAAGAGAAAGAAAUCUACCUCCCCCCUCCCCUCCCCGACUCCGGCAUCCCGCUCCCCUCCCUUCCCGUCUCCGGCGCGCCGCCAGAUCGGGCCAGAAGAGUCCGUCCGGCACCCAUCCCUCGCUCCCCGCCGGCACCUUGGGCCCGGCAUCGGCCGCCGCGGCGCGUCAGUUUGGCGGGCGGCUCGGCCGACCGGGAGGCGGGCGGUCCGGCGCCGCGGGAGGGCAGGGGUCCGGUUUCCGGUCUCCGGAGCGGCCUUGGAGCGCAGAUCGGCCCGCCCGGCAAGCGGCAAUGCAGCAGGCGCAGCGGAGCAAGGUGGGUUCCGACUUCCGAGCCGUCCCUCCCCCUCCCCCCUCCUCCUCAUGCGUCUAGUAUGAGCAAGAUGAUUUGCGCCUCUUCUUGCGGCGUCGAUGCCCGCUGCCCGUCUCGGUUCCAUCCAGGACGAAGCCGGCGACCCAGCGUUUUCUGAAUCCUCGCUGCCCUGCCCUGUUUUCAAAUUCAUUCAAACCUCUUUGACAGAUUCUUGGCUACUUUUGUUGCUUUUUCGGCGCCGGCAACCCUUCCUGCCGCCGAAAUCUCUGAUCUGCUGUUUCCGUCAGUAAAAGUUAGCAGUCAAAUGCCGUCGGUUCCAAUCCAAUACGGCAGCACCGCGUGAUGAGCUGCAGACAGCCCGCGCCUCACAUGGCAAAGUUGACCGCCUCCUCGCCGCUUCCUGAAUCCAGAUGCCAAACGCUAGACGAAGUCCGCAAGAUGCCCCUUUUCCCCUGCCUGCCCGUCGGUGGCGCGCAAAGCUUGUACUACAUUUUAAUCCUUGUUGGAGUCCUCGCAGAUGCCCGCCAGCAACAGCAAGCAACCGGCGUUCAGUGGCACAAAAAGUUUUAAACUGUUUGAUUGCUUGCCGGUGCUGUGGCUUUUCUCAAUGGCUGGUUCCGUUGCAAUGUGGCCACUCCAAAUCCCUGUCGGUCUCCAAUGAUUCCUCCAACCCCCACCACAGCAAUCAUUGUGCCGUCUCAGCUCCCCGGAUCAACCGUUUAAAGUUCUCUCUGUUUUAGCAGCUGGGUGUUGAGCGCUUGCUGAUUCAUUCAGUGUGUGCAAUCCAUGUUUUGCAGGGUUCGGCGGAGGCGGACUUCUUCACUGAGUACGGCGACGCCAACCGGUACAAGAUCCAGGAGGUCAUCGGCAAGGGGAGCUACGGGGUUGUGUGCUCCGCCCUUGAUCUGCAGACCAGGCAGAAAGUGGCCAUCAAGAAGAUACACAAUAUCUUCGAGCAUACCUCCGACGCCGCGCGGAUCCUCCGUGAGAUCAAGCUUCUGAGGCUCCUACGGCAUCCCGACGUCGUCGAGAUCAAGCACAUUAUGCUGCCUCCCUCCAGAAAGGACUUCAAGGACAUCUACGUUGUUUUUGAGCUCAUGGAGUCUGAUCUCCACCAAGUUAUUAAGGCCAACGAUGACUUGACGAAAGAGCACUACCAGUUCUUUCUCUACCAGCUACUCCGAGCCCUCAAAUACAUUCAUACUGGUGAGAAAUCGUUACCUUCAAGUCUACUGUUGUUGCUUAGAAAACAAUGUUUUACCCUGAAGGUGGUGUGUGUUUUAGUUUACAAUCAUGUGUAGUAGGUCAGAUCCUCUUUUCAUCUCUUUUUCACUUGCCUAUCAAACACUCCCCCCCAGAGGCUUGCUCUUCAAUAUUAAAAAGUCCAAUGAUGGGUCAGUUAUGGUUUCCUCAGUGUGCAGAACUAGAUAAUAUACACUGCGGUUUAGUCAACAGAUCCUCAGUAACAGUUGAUUCUUUAAGUGCCAAAGUGUGACUUGCUUCGCGUGUAGUCAACCAAGUUAACAACAGGGUUUAUCAUUUGAUAUUAAAUCCUGUGUAUUAUCAUCUCUCAACCUUCAGUUGCAUCUUUCUCCGUUUGCUUUGUGCUACACAUUACUACUUCACUAUUAUUAAGAUAUGUAUCAUCCUUUAUCAGCAUUUUUAAAAUAUGACCAUAUUAAAUCCAUUCAUAUAUUAGCCUGCAUUCUCUGAAUUUCUUGAAUUGUUUUUUUUCCCUUUGAGGCCGUAGAUCAUCCCGUAGCUAAAACAAUGACAAUAAUUAUGAAACGGAGGGAGUAGCAGUCAAGAUAAGUACCAGACCAUUAUCUGAUGCAACCUUUGUUCACCUCUUCAAAUGAAUUAUUUUUGGUGUUUUGUUCAUUAUUUAUCCCUUUUAUAUUGUAGGCGCUCUAGCCAAGACUCUGUAAUUUGAUUGCUCGUUGGAAAUCUUUUCCACUUACUUGCCAUCAAAAAGCUUGUCAUGGUGUUGAAUUGACACUACCAGAAAUUGCACCCCAAUGUUUUUCAGUGAUACACUGUAGAAAACGUUACUUGAUUGCGUAUUCUAUUUUUAUUACCACUUUUUUUUUGCUGAUAAGGAGUUCAUAUGACUGCAGCUAGUGUUUACCAUCGUGACCUGAAGCCCAAGAAUAUUUUGGCAAAUUCUAACUGCAAACUGAAGAUAUGUGAUUUUGGACUAGCACGAGUUGCAUUCAACGAUACCCCAACAACUGUCUUCUGGACGGUAUGUUAGUACAAACUCAAUUUAUGUUUUUUAUAGCAGAUUUUUGAUGAAGUAUCAUAAUUUAUAGAUAUUAUGCAUAAUCCCUGCAGGAUUAUGUCGCGACAAGAUGGUAUAGAGCUCCAGAGCUCUGCGGAUCCUUCUUCACAAAGGUGAGGUUUAGAGUUCAUGGCUUUGUGCUUAUUAAAAAAUGAAGAAAAGAACUAGGUUCUUAAUCUGUUGACAGGCUUAUAGUGUAACAAAGAAGAUGCUUACAAUUGUUCUAGCAUGAGUUGAUUGAACUGUGAGCUGUAACAGGCAAAUGUUUAUGGUGAAAAUUAAAAUGCACUAUGUACCUGUUCAUCCUAUGUUUUAUAGUUAUGGUUUCUCCAUCUAUAGUAUAGAUUAGAUCUGUUCACUGUCAUUUCUAUCCUUUUGUAUUUUAUGGCCUAAUUUCAUUCAUGAAUUGAUCUUAACAUUUGUUCAUCCUAUGUUCUACACGAAUACUUGAUCACUUUCCUCUUGAAUAGUAACUUUGACUACAUGUGAAUUUCUCUUACUUCCAAGAACAGUAAAAGCAUCUUCCGUAAUUUCCAGGAUUUUGAUCACAUGCAUGUUCUUAAUCUAUUUUGGAUUUUUGUUUCACCCCAAAAUGCAGUAUACACCUGCCAUUGACAUUUGGAGCAUUGGGUGCAUUUUCGCUGAGGUGCUGACAGGAAAGCCUUUGUUUCCUGGUAAAAAUGUUGUCCAUCAGUUAGACUUAAUGACUGAUCUCCUAGGGACACCUUCAAUGGAUACAAUUUCUCGGGUACGCUACUAAAUUCAGGGGAAGAAUAUAUAUUUAGUUGAUCUGGUAAGCGUAAUCAGCGAGCCCAACGUUUGACUCUAUUAUUUUUGUUUUUUCCUAGGUCCGAAAUGAGAAAGCAAGAAGGUACUUGAGCAGUAUGAGAAAGAAAGACCCGGUCCCAUUUUCUCAGAAGUUUCCUAAUGCAGAUCCUUUGGGAGUUAAACUCUUGGAGAAGCUAUUAGCCUUUGAUCCAAAAGACCGUCCAACUGCGGAAGAGGUAGUCUUAUGGUGCUAUUUUGUCUUUCUGAUGCCUUGGUUUCUUCUCUCUGUUUGCAGCAUUAGUUUGUUAUAUAUUUAUAUGGAGUAAGUUGUAAUGUUUCCUUCAAUGUUUGUAUUUUGUUAGGCAUUGACUGAUCCAUACUUUAGAGGCCUUUCCAAGCCAGAGAGAGAACCAUCCUGUCAGCCAAUCAGAAAAAUGGAGUUUGACUUUGAGCACAGCAGAGUGUCAAAGGAUGAUAUAAGGGAGCUGAUAUUCCAGGAGAUAUUGGAAUAUCAUCCGCAAUUGCUGAAGAGCUACACUGAUGGCACAGAGAGGACAACCUUUCUCUACCCAAGGUUUUAGUUUUUCUAUGUUUCUAUUCCGUCAUUUCUGUUCAUUGUGUCAACUCUUACUGACAGCAAUAUUCCGCGGUUAUGUUUGUCAGUGCUGUCGAUCAUUUCAAGAAGCAGUUCUCUCAUCUUGAAGAAAGCGAUGGCAGCGGCCCUGUAGUCCCAGCAGAUAGAAAACAUGCAUCUCUUCCUAGGUAAUGUUGCAUCGUACUCUUUUCUUUUGUUCAUUUCUUUUCCUUCCAUAUCACUGGCACAUAAUGCUAAUGGCUCACUUUGAAGUGCACUGCUCCUUUGCUUCAUAUUAAGAUGGAUUGAGUUUCAAAUAAUGGGAUAAUUAUCAUGUUAUGAAUUUGGUUAGAUUUGAUUUUAUCUGGAUAGUGAACUGGGCUAUAUAAACUUGAGAGUGAAGUGACUGGGAUCUACGUGAUCACAGGAGUUCAAAGAUCUACUACUGUAAUCUAUUUUAAACUUGAGAGUGAAGUGACUGGGAACUUAAUACCCGGUUUUCUCAUCAGAGUUGGGGUUACAAUUGAUAUAUGUAGGUUAUCAGAUCAGAUUGUUAGGUCCUGUGCGAUACUUUAUCAUCACUUUGUUAGUCGAGGUUCUGUUUGAAAUCUAAGUGAUGGCUUAAUCAGUAUGUGUUCAGAAUGUUGAUACUCGAGACCCACUUAAUAAUUUGGUUGCUUUUUUGCCACUCAGUUAGCACACCUGUAUGCCUUUCAUCACUAUAUGUUUUAAUAUUAGUAAGGUAAGCCUGUGUUAUUGCUGAUAAGCAUCUUUGUUUUUGCAGGUCCACUAUUGUUCACUCGACUCCAAUUCCCGCGAAGGACACUCGGCCGCUCUUUGGCAAGCCUUGCAACAAAACUUCCUCGGAGACAGGGAGGUAUGCUGGGAAUGGUCACGGUGCUUCUCAGGCUUCACACGCGGCACAAGCAGGUACGCCCUCGUCCAUUUUUUUAUACAUGUUUUGUUGUCAUUUACUUGAAGCAUAAUGUCUCCCAUUUCUAAGACUAUUUCUUAUUAUGCAGUGAUUUCGCGGAGAGCUGCCGGUUCAGCGUUACCUUAUGACGCGGCAAGCAGGCCGACGAUUAGCCCAGGAUGCCCUCCUCAGCAGCAGAUCCCACAAAUGUAUGGGCAAUAUCAGCAUCAAGCACCUCCUGGUGCUGGUGCUGGUGCUGGGAUACCACAGGCCAUGGGGGGCUAUGCCUGUGGUGGGUACACCAAAGGCACGGCGCCUAAUGCUGCUGCUGCUGCUCCGGCCAUGAGAGCACCCCCCUAUCGACACCUACCGACGGGGCAGAAGAACGGCCCGCUGGACAGACUGGCAGUGGAGACCACCGACAUAUACACGCGGUCGCUCAACGGCAUCGUCGCCGCCGCCGCGGCAUCGGCCGGUGCCACGGGCGCCCACAGGAAGGUGGGCGCCGUGCCGUUUGGCAUGCCGACGACUUACUAGCGGCUAAGAAGGCGGCAGCGGCGCGUACCUAGACCCUUCGGCCGGAACAGUAGCAACCGGAGGGAGGCAUUGGCCUGAAAUAAGUUGGCGGAUGAGGAUCGUCCGACGACGACGACGGCGGCGAAGGCAUACAGAGAUAGUAGGUGCGAAAUCCUCUUCCAAGUCGUCUCUAGGCUACACACAAAAGACGGAGGGACGGAUGUGGCCAGACGAGCUGUUUAUUUAGGUGCAAAUGAAAAUUAAUUAGCUGGUUAGCGGCCGGCUGGAGACAGGUCAACUCAACACAGAAAUGAAGUCUGUACUGUGCUACUGCUUACUAUCCAACAGACUGAUUAAUUGAUUAAAGGGAUGAUGGUCCAUUGAUCAUCAUCAUAUGAUUCAUUUGCUCGGAAAAAUAGUUGCCCUUAGACUGAAACUGCAAUGCCCUUGAGUUUCUGCAUCUACAUUAUUCAUGUCAAAAUUAAAUUUGCUCUGGGCCCCUUGACUUUCUCUAUCUAAAAUGUUCAUGUCAAAAUUAUAAUCUACUAAAGCCAGUAUCACUAUCCCAAAUUGCAUUGACAGUAGCAACAAUAACAACUACAGAGAGCAAAAUUUCACCAUUGUCAUCAAAACUGCCCACUGUUAGCACACUAAGAAACUACAUGCAUUCACUAUUAGCACAUCAAUCCAAAUACGUCCAUUCACUGUUAGCCCAUUUGCAUACGUAAACAUCCGUCCACAAUUAGCCAUCCAAGCCUUCAUACGCAUCACUUGAGUAAAAGAGAAGAGGAGAACAGAGGAGACAGAGAGAUGGGGAGGGAGAGCAGCUCAUAAGCGACCAGCGAGCGGGGAGGGACGGGGCGGCCUUGGGCGAUGUCGACCGGCGGCGAGGGCAAGGCUAGCUCGGAUAAUUUGUUUUGUUUUGUUUUCUGGUUUCUAGAUCUUUCAUGUACCAGUUACACAUUGCAUAGUUCCACAAAUAAAAAUAUGCGCAAUUCUAAUGUCAUGACCAAGCGGCCAGCUUGGUAAGCUACCAACAACAAAUUGAAAAACUCUAGUUGUUCGCACAUUUCUUAUGAUUAAGAAUGCAGAAAUUCAACGAGUUAUGAGAUCUCAGUCUUGUAAUUUCUGGUUCUUUUGUUUUGGGAUUCAUAUGUUUUUAGAUCGCAUUUGUACAAAAAUAUAUAGGGUGCAUGGUGCCUCAACGCGAUGGUCAGGAGUGGUGUGGUGUACUCCUCUGACCAGGGUCAGAGCCAGGAUUGGGCCAAGCCCCGGGCCUNNNNNNNNNNNNNNNNNNNNNNNNNNNNNNNNNNNNNNNNNNNNNNNNNNNNNNNNNNNNNNNNNNNNNNNNNNNNNNNNNNNNNNNNNNNNNNNNNNNNNNNNNNNNNNNNNNNNNNNNNNNNNNNNNNNNNNNNNNNNNNNNNNNNNNNNNNNNNNNNNNNNNNNNNNNNNNNNNNNNNNNNNNNNNNNNNNNNNNNNNNNNNNNNNNNNNNNNNNNNNNNNNNNNNNNNNNNNNNNNNNNNNNNNNNNNNNNNNNNNNNNNNNNNNNNNNNNNNNNNNNNNNNNNNNNNNNNNNNNNNNNNNNNNNNNNNNNNNNNNNNNNNNNNNNNNNNNNNNNNNNNNNNNNNNNNNNNNNNNNNNNNNNNNNNNNNNNNNNNNNNNNNNNNNNUGAAUAUACAUGUCAUGUUCUGGAUGCGAAUGAUUUGAGCUCUAGCUCAUAUGAGUUCGAUUGAACAGUAAAAUCCAAAAAAAUUGAAAAAAAAUUCUGAAUUCUAUUUGUAGCAACAUUGACAAAUGUUCUUAAUGCUUGCAAAGUUUCAUCAUCGACUAACAUUCAUGGAAAUCAGCAUUCGGAACAUUUGUCACUGAUUUGCUAAAAAAACAGAAUUCUUUUUUGAAUGUUUAUUAAUUUUUUUUGGGAUUUUACUGUUCACACAAAGUACUUUUUUGGGCCGUGCUCUUUCUUUUUUUAAGACCCUUCUCAACCCCGCAAAAAAAAAUGAUCAAGAGGAAUAAGAACUAGGCGUCACCUUAAUUAAUUUGUUUGUUUUGUGUGAAACGUCCAAUUUUUUUUCCGCAUUUAUAAAAAAAUUGCAACACCCAUAUCAUGCAUCUCAACAUGGAACAUGUGGCGAACCAACCUGUAGUUGGAUGGUUAGAGGGACAACGGUAUCCCCAGCCCACCAGGGUUCAAGUCCUUCUGAAUUUAUUUCAGAAUUUCCGAUGGUGCGCUUUCAGUGGGAGGAGACGUUCUCGUCGACGACGAGGCUAAAUUUCAAGAUGACAUGUCGGCUCAGUCUCUCGGAGGUGCUCAUAGGGGUAGGGUGUGCGUGUGUGCGUUCAUAGGGUGAGUGUAUGCGCGUAUGUAUGAGCGCUUGCGUCUAUACUGAUAUUAAAAAAAACAUGGAAAACAUGACAGGAGAGAAAGAUGGAAUCAACUUUUUUUUUUACAUUUCGUUCACUGGGUAAAUAUCGAUCGAAGUGUGUGCAUGCACUGAUGUGCUGGAAUUUUGUCUAUUUGGGCCUAGCCCAAUAGCAGUUUCAGAAAUUCCUAAUAAAUCCUAGAGACCCACGCAGUCCAAUCGUGCAAGGCAAAAGGUGGAACUAAAAUUUAGUCUCAUCUUGCUAGUUUAGAGGGAGUUGGACCUCUUUAUAAGGGAGGCUCCUUCCCCACUUGUAUGAGCAUGAGAACAAGAGGGACAUCCACGCACGCUCCUCCUCCGCCGCCCGCCUCGCCUCGUCACGACGCGCCGCGGGUUGCGGGAAUGAGCCGAGCCGAUGUCUAAAUUUUUGUCACGCACUACAGGUAUACGAAAGGUCACGCGAAAGCUGAAACGUUUUCGUCUCCCUCGUUCUCUUCAGCUCCCAGCACAGCCUCUCGCCUCCUUCUCUUGCGCCUAUAAAAGGGAGGUCACUCCUCUCAGAGAGACGCAUCAGAAUCUCUUCCUCCUCUCGCCACAAGUUCCUGAGCACUGCGCUGCUGCUACGUUCUUCCCCAUCCCAGCUUGCGGCGUGCACCGCAGGUCGGGACAGUAGGCCUCUGAAACCGCACCUUUUGAGUCCUGUACGGGAGAAGGGUGAUAAGGCUUUUGGGGAGCGCUCUGCGCGACUACUGACUUUUUCGUCACGGACGCCCCGGACUCCGACGACUACUUCCCCGACGUCGACUACCUCCUCGACGACAUGGAGGACACCGACCCCAAGUCCAGUGCCUCUGCCCCGGCUGCUGUCCAGUACGUGUUCUUAUCUUUCCUGUUAGAAGUCCUGCAACAGUUCCUUCUUCUAAUGUUUGCUCUAGACAUGUUAGGCUCUAUUUCAUAUAUGCUUCUUGAUCUACUGUCUGCUCUAGAGAUGAUUGGUUCUAGCUCAUAUAUGCAGAUAUUAUUUACUUUCUCUUUUUCAAAUCGCAUGGCUUGUUUUAUCACUGCUAUACUAGUCAUGCUUUAUCUAGUAUUUCUGUUAAUAAAAUUAUUCGGUAAAUUGCUCAUAUUUCUAACAUGAUGCACAUGUCAUAUUCCCAACGUACGAACGUGUUGGGUGCACUACCUUACUUGGGGUUAUAUUAGUGGAGUUCAAUCUCUCCUGGUGAGUGACAAACACCACUGGCUAGCUCAGCGCAGCUCCCUCGCUCUCACCCAACUUUCUUCCCGCCGGCCAGCCGCGCGCUUCAUCACAUCGAUCGAUCUACCGAUCCAUCGGUCCCCGAGCACUGUGGCGGCGCCAGCAACCACGGAGACGGGCGACGACCCUGCAUUCGUCGCCGAGGGCACCGUCACCUGCAUCAGGCUCGCCAUCGCCUCCAACAUGGAGAUGGUAAUUACUCUGCCCACCUCCAACAACCAUGGCGUCUUCAUCUCCUCUCCUCCUUGUUCUUCAUCUUGCGUUGCAUACACGAGGACAAAAAGAAAGCAAUUAACAACAUUAAUUAAUGAUUGCAUUGCAGGUGAGGGCGAGGAGUAUCCGGUGAAGCACCCGAGCCAGCUGGCGGCUUGCCUGCUCCCUCCCCAUGCUCCCAUCCGUACUUUCACUUCAUUCUGUGGCUGUCUUUUUUCUUUUUUCUUUCUAAUCUAAUCAUCCCCCUGAUUUUAAGGGGGUGGGACCGGGUCUUAUUUUGUUCCAAUCAAAUCAAGCCACGUAUGCGGGAGCACGGAUGGGCACACGCGCGGGGAGCAGGCAAGUCUCGUCCACAAACCGGGCGCUGGGCCUGCCGUUGCAGCUCGGCUGCUGCGACUCCUGCGGCGCAACAGACCUCGCCAAAUGCGAAGGUUAUUGAUGAUUUUUAUUUAACAGUGUCUCUUCAGUUAAGUGAUGAAUAUACAGUAGUGGCACUAUGGACAUGCAGCUAAAACUUUUUUGGUCAGCUAGCUAGUUCAGUCAGUGUGUGACAAUCCUGCAAACAUGGUUCAGUCAGUCAGUCAGUGUGUGUGUCAUGGGAACUGAAUUUGGGACAAUUUUUCAGGCUCCUGAAACUAGAUAGAAACCAAACUGAACGAUAUUCAAACAAGUUCAGUUUAUCGCACAAUAACUAGUUACCUAGGUAACAACUGAGCUGACUACUCACUUCUACAGCACUUUUGGGACAGUACUUUUGUAAGUACCUUUUGGGACAGUACUUUUGGUUUCAUUAGAAGCUUGUUUGUUUCACCCUCACCUCCUGAAUUUUUUCUCCCUUCUUUAGGAUGCCUCCACAAACUUGCUGAGGAAAGUCCUAGUCAAGGUACAUGAAAUCAACGGCUCAAGGGUUGGCGCCCCAACCUUUCAAGAAGAUGAGGCGGAAGCAGAUGAUCUUCAGGUCGCCAUUGCCGACUACAUCAAGCUUGCGGGAACAGCAAGGGUAUCUAGACAAUGCGUAAAUGAAGUACAUACUAUCUCCUAGCUUGAUCACAAAUAACUGUAUGUUGAUAACGUGUCUUCAUGUAUCUUUUGAAGGGCCCUCAAGAUGUCACCUUCACAAGUCAGCCUGCAACAAAACAAUGGCAGCAGAAGAUGAAGUCGCUCUGUAUCAGCAAGAGCUCAAGCUUUUCAUGCCGUGGUGUGAUCAUGGGUGGCCCAUACAUUCCCAUGAAUGUGGUAGGGUAGGAGUGCCUGACGAAGUAGCAAGACGGAUGUCGGUACAAGUGCGUGUGUANNNNNNNNNNNNNNNNNNNNNNNNNNNNNNNNNNNNNNNNNNNNNNNNNNNNNNNNNNNNNNNNNNNNNNNNNNNNNNNNNNNNNNNNNNNNNNNNNNNNNNNNNNNNNNNNNNNNNNNNNNNNNNNNNNNNNNNNNNNNNNNNNNNNNNNNNNNNNNNNNNNNNNNNNNNNNNNNNNNNNNNNNNNNNNNNNNNNNNNNNNNNNNNNNNNNNNNNNNNNNNNNNNNNNNNNNNNNNNNNNNNGUGAUUAGACACUAAGUACCAAAGUUGCAGUUUUUAACUUCUUUAAGUUUAAGUGGAGUUUAGGCACAAGUUUAACAUUUACAACAUAUAGCAAGCAAGCAUGCAAAGAGUAUAUGAGCAACGGAAAGUAAGGCAUGCAACUUGCAAGAAUGUAAAGGGAAGGGUUUUGAAAGAUUUGAGUGGAAAGCAACUUGGGGAAGGCUAGAGAUCAAGAUUCAUAUGGUAGGAAUUGAAUAUCUUGGCCUCAACACAUGAGUAGGUAGUUCUCUCUCAGAAAUGGUAAGUUGGAAGUGUAGGUUCGUUCUGAUGGCUCUCUCCACGAAUGAAGAGGAGGUGGAGGGGUAUAUAUAGCCUCCACACAAAAUCUAACCGUUACACACAAUUUACCAAACUCGGUGGGACCGAAUCAACAAAUUCGGUCGGACCGAUUUAGUAAACCUAGUGACCGUUAGGAUUUUUGGUGGGACCGAUAUGCAACUCGGUAGGACCGAUAUGAUUAGGGUUAGGGCAUAACGUAAUCUCGGUAAGACCGAUUACACAAACUCGGUGGGACCGAUUUUGGUAAUUAGCUAACCAGAGAGUUGGUCAGGCAAACUCUGUGGGACCGAUUACUCAAACUCGGUGGGACCGAUUUAGUAAUAAGUUAACCAGAGAGUUUGCAUUGUAAUCUCGGUAGUACUGAUUACACAAACUCGGUGAGACCGAUUUUCAUAAUGGACAUACACAGAGAGAUUGCAAUCCCAUCUCGGUGAGACCGAGAUCCCUAUCGGUGAGACCGAUUUGCUUAGGGUUUGUGGCAGUGGCUAUGACAUCUGAACUCGGUGGUGCCGGAUAGAAAGAAUCAAUAGGGCCGAGUUUGACUUCAGGUUUAGGUCAUAUGUGUGGAAGUGGGAAAGUAGUUGAGGGUUUGGAGCAUAUCACUAAGCACUGUGGAGCAAGAAACUCAUUAAGCAACACCUCAUCCCUUCUUGAUAGUAUUGGCUUUUCCUAUAGACUCAAUGUGAUCUUGGAUCACUAAAAUAUAAAAUGAAGAGUCUUGAACUUGAAGCUUGAGCCAAUCCUUUGUCCUUAGCAUCUUGAAGGAGUUCCCACAUCUUUUAGUCCAUGCCACUCCAUUGUUGAACUUGUCUGAAAUGUACUAGGUAAAAGUGUUAGUCCAACAAAAGAUAUGUUGACAUUAAUUACCAAACCCACCUAGGAAACACUUGUGCUUUCAAUCUCCCCCUUUUUGGUAACUGAUGACAACAUACAUCAAAGCUUUAGAUAAAGAUAUAGAGAAUAGCAAGUAAAGCUUUGGAAAGAUGUGUAACAAGCAUAGGCUCCCCCUACAUGUAUGCAAUCAUGUGAAUAUAGAAUAUAGAAGCAUGUGAGAGCAUAACCAUGACAGAGUAGGCAAUGUGUUACAUGUAUCUUGGCCAUAUGCAUCAGAGCAAAGAAUAUUAAAGAAAAUACCUCCAUGCUUAUGAGUCCUUCUUGCAAACAAUAUGUACAUCAGCAAGAAUUCCUCAUACAUAUGAGUGUGAUGCAUAUACUUACCUUGUAGUCUUGAGUUGGCUUAGGAUGGAAUGAACCUGCAUAAACAAGGUUAGAUAACACAGAUACAUCUACUAGCCAGAGCAAACAGAAGAAACCACAAGAAUACCAAGACUGGGAUGACAUGUAGAGAGUGAGUACUAAGUACCACAUUGGAUUAGACAUGUCCCCAAGAGUAAAGAUAUGCAAUGAAUUUAAAUGAUUUCUUUCCCUUGGAUGUCUUGCUCCCCCUGAAUCUAGCAUGGGAUACUGGGAGAAGAUAGGGAACAAAAAAUCAGAGUUGAAAGAUAUAAAUGAACAGAGCUAAUGCAAACUAAUGCAAAUAAGCACAUAUGAACAUGUCUUUUCCCCUCAAUAAGACAUGUGGCAUCUCUCCUCUUGAACACCAAGCAUCUGAGAUCCUUGACAAAUACUUUCUACUUGAGUAUUCUCUCCCCUGGAGAUCUCUUUCUCCCCCUGAGGAGGUGAUACUAUCCCUCUGAUGUGAUCUCUCUAAGUGAUAAGCUUUGAUGUGAUCUCUCUCUCCCCCUUUGACAUCAAUUUCCAAGAAGGGUUUGAUCCUUGAGUCACAGCACACAACAUUUAUAAAAAUGUGAUGCUUGUAGAGGACAAGAUUCAUUGAGUGGAGCUGGAUCAGAAGAAACACAGAAUAUGUGGCAAGCUGUUUUUCAUGUUGGGAAAUCGGUGGCACCAAGUGGUAUGCUUCGGUUGUACUGAAAGGAUUCGGUUGGACCGAAAACAACAAAUCGGUGAAACCGAGUUCAUCACAGAGAAAACACUUGUCACCUCAGCUCACUAGACUAGUAGGGUCUCACAAAGAUUUGCAAGGAAUUUACUGAAUGAUAUGCAAUGAAUUGGAUGCAGAAAAUGCAGAGCAAACAAAAAGAAAUCUAGAUGAAGUUUUUUUUCUUGAAAGAGGAAACAAAUAUGCAUGAGACAAAUGCAAAAGCACAGUAAAGAACAUGAGAGAACUUCAUCUAGAUAUGGUCGGCGACAAAGUCACCUAUGUUAGAGUAUAUUGACUUAGGAGUCAAGUGAGAUCACUUGAUCAUAGGUCAUACUCAUUGUUUAAGCUCAAAAUUGGGUUACCAUUUUUUGUUUAAGCAUCUUGAUGUAUUCACAUCUUGUCGAGUUGCUUUAGCUCAUGACUUGGAGUAAAGCUUCUCUAAGAUGGAAUAGCAUACCUUGGUUGGUGGUGUAGAACAUGUAGUUGAACUUGUGUGGGUUGCUCAAGGUUGAUGUAGCUCAUCAAGAGUUGGGAGCACCACUUGGAAUUUGAGUCCAUAUACCUACAUGGGUUAGUUCUUGCAAGGAAAAGCACUUGUGUAUCCAAAAAUGAUAAUCAUGAAGCUCAACAUAGAGUUUGUCAAAGGAUGUGUUUGAAUGGUUUCGUGCUUCCUUGUCUUCAACCACCAUAGUGUAGAAACUUGGUGAUGUAGAGAUUGCUCAAGAUGUGAGUAGAUUACAAUCUCAUGAAAUUUGAUUCAACCAAGUACCUACAUGGGUUAGAUAACAUGUAAGAUACAAAUAUAUCCAAGAUAUAAGACUUUCAUCAUAAGAGAAAUAUCAAGGAUUAGUCAUAAGCUCAUGUCUUGCAUGUAUCCAAUGGAGUUUCUACUCCAAGUUUGAAGCAUCAAUGAUGUUCAAUUCUCCUCUCAACCUGCAAAACACUUUCUCAUCAAGAGGUUUAGUGAAAAUAUCCGCUAAUUGUUUUUCGGUGCGAACAUGCUUAAUAUCAAUGUCACCAUUAGCAACAUGAUCUGGAAUGAAAUGAUGACGAACUUCAAUAUGCUUAGUUUGAGAAUGUUGCACGGGAUUAUGACCAAUUUUGAUAGCACUUUCAUUGUCACAAAGCAAUGGAACAUGUUUCACAUAUAUCCCAUAAUCUUUAAGAGUUUGGGUCAUCCAAAGUAAUUGAGCACAACAUGAACCAACGGAAAUGUAUUCCGCUUAGGCGGUGGAUAAGGAUAUCGAGUUUUGCUUCUUGGAAGACCAAGACACAAGAGAUCUACCAAGAAAUUGACAAGUACCUGAAGUGGACUUUCUAUCAACCUUGUCUCCGGCAUAGUCCGAGUCGGAGUAGCCAACAAGAUCGAAAGAGGCCCUCUUAGGAUACCAAAUGCCAAAAUUUGGUGUAUGGAUUAAGUAUCUCACUAUCCUUUUCACGGCCUUAAGAUGACAUUCUUUAGGAGCAACUUGAUAUCGUGCACACAUGCACACACUUAGCAUGAUAUCGGGACGUGAAGCACAUAGAUAUAUAAUGAACCAAUCAUAGAGCGAUAAACCUUUUGAUCAACCGGUUCACCAUCUUUGGUCAAGUCAAGAUGUCCACUAGUAGGCAUGGGUGUAGACAUACCUUUGCAUUCUUGCAUAUUGAACUUCUUGAAUAAGUCCUUGGUGUACUUCGUUUGAGAAAAAAAAGUACCUUCCUUAGUUUGCUUGAUUUGCAACCCAAGAAAGAAUUUGAGUUCACUCAUCAUAGACAUCUCAAACUUCUCCGACAUUAGCUUUCCAAACUUUUCACUAAAAUGAGGGUUAGUUGAACCAAAUAUAAUAUCAUCAACAUAGAUUUGGCACACAAAUAGUUCUCCAUUAACCCUUUUAGUAAAAAGUGUGGAAUCAAUUUUCCCAAUUUCAAAGCCUUUUUCAAUAAGGAACUUGGUCAAGCAUUUAUACCACGCUCUAGGAGCUUGUUUAAGACCAUAAAGGGCUUUGUGAAGUUUGUAAACAUGAUUUGGUUUCUUAGGAUUGACAAAGCCGGGAGGUUGCUUAACAUAAACUUCCUUCUCUAUUUCACCAUUUAGAAAAGCACUUUUAAUGUACAUUUGGUACAAGGUGAUAUCAUGAUGAUUAGCAUAGGCAAGUAAGAUGCGAAUGGACUCAAGUCUAGCAACGGGAGCAUAAGUCUCACCAUAGUCCAUACCUUCGACUUGUGUGUAGCCUUGGGCGACGAGACGUGCUUUGUUGCGAACUACUUGCCCAUCUUCAUCUUGCUUGUUGCGAAACACCCAUUUUGUACCGAUGAUGUUGUGGUUGUUGUCGGGCUUCUCAACCAAUGUCCAAACUUGGUUUCUCUCAAAGUUGUGUAGCUCUUCAUGCAUAGCAUUUAUCCAAUCCGGAUCUUCCAAUGCUUCUUCGACCUUCAUAGGUUCAAUGCUAGAGAUGAAAGAAUAGUUUUCACAAAAGUUAGCUAAACGAGUUUUAGAGCGAGUGAUUCUCCCGGUUUGAAUAUCAUUGUAGAUUUGCUCGACGGGAUGGUCUUUAGAAAUUCUUGCUCGAACUCGUGAAAGCUUUUGCUUGGUUCUUGGUUGAACUUCUUCUUCAUCUUGUUCUUCUUCUUGGCCUUCUUCAUUGUUGGCGUUGUCGUUCUUUUGUCAUGGUGGAGAAGGAGGUCGUUGACGUUCAUCUUGAUGCACUUCCUCGUUUUCUUCAUCUUGGUGUGUCCCACUUGUGGAUGCUUCCGUAUCAAUUCUUGGUUCACCUUGUCGUGAAGUAGAAGCUUCCAAUUGGACGGACGAGGUACUCUCCUUCACCUCCGUUGGACGAACCUUGCCAAUAGACAAGUCUUGGAUUGCUUCCGAAGGAUCUUUGUCUCCUACAUCAAUUGGCAAUUGCUCUACUUGCGAGAGAUUCAUCAAACUUCACAUCUACCAUCUCUUCAACCUUUCGGGUGAAAUUGUCGUAGACAAGGUAAGUGUGAGAGUUUGAGCCAUAACCUAGUAGGAAACCUUCAUGAGACUUAGGAGAAAAUUUAGAACGACGAUGCUUAUCAAGAAUGUAGCACUUUGAGCGAAAUACUCGAAAGUAUCCAACAUGGGGUUUGUUACCGGUGAGGAGCUCGUAUGCCGUCUUGCCGAGUAGCCUGUGAAGAUACAAGCGAUUUGUUGCAUGACAAGCUGUCUCAACCGCUUCUGCCCAAAAGUGCUUCGGUGUCUUGUACUCAUCAAGCAUCGUUCUCGCCAUUUCGAUGAGCGUCCGGUUCUUCCCCUCAACAACUCCAUUUUGUUGAGGUGUGUACUUAGCCAAGAACUCGUGUGAAAUCCCUUCUUCGUCAAGAAAGGUGUCCACAUUUGUGUUCUUGAACUCCGUUCCGUUGUCGCUGCGAACCUUCUUGAUCUUCACUUCAAAUUGAUUUUGGGCCUUCCUAGCGAAGUUUUUGAAGAUCUUUUGGACCUGCGAUUUAUCAUCGAGAAAGAACACCCACGUAAAUCUUGAAAAAUCAUCAACUAUAACUAGACCAAAAGAAUUUCCACCGAGGCUUUUAUAAGCGUUGGGACCAAAAAGAUCCAUAUGAAGUAGCUCGAGUGGCCUCCUUGUGGUCAUGAUGUUCUUCACGGGAUGCCUUCCUCCAACCUGUUUACCUGCUUGACAAGCACUGCAAAGUUUAUCCUUAUCAAAUAUGACAUCGUUAACACCAAGGAUAUGAUUCCCUUUAAUAAGCUUGUCAAGGUUUCUCAUACCAAUGUGACCUAGUCGUCUAUGCCAUAACCAACCUUUUGAGGAUUUAGCAAUGAAGCAAGUUUUAGGUUGUGCCUUUUUAGAGAAAUCAACAAUGUAAAAGAUCACCUCUACGUAUGCCGGUAAAGACCAUUUUAUGAUUGUCUCGACGAAACACUUGGCAAUCUACUUCAGUAAAUAGGACAUUGAAACCGAAAUCAGCAAGUCUAGAUACUGAAAGUAAGUUGUAGCCAAGAGAUUCAACGAGCAUGACAUUUUGUAUGGAGGUAUCAUGUGAUAUGGCCACCUUACCAAGGCCAACCACCUUACCCUUUGAGUUGUCACCGAAAGUGACAUACUUUCGAGGACUAUCAUUUUCAGCAAGCUCACGAAACAUGUCUUUAUCUCUAGUCAUGUGAUCGGUACAUCCACUGACAAGAACCCAUUCCUUUCCUCCUGACACAUAUCCCCGAAGAUUUGCCAUAAGACCAAAAUGCCUCAUUGCAUCAUCAAGAUCGAAGUCACUAUCAUCAUCCUCAUCAUAGUAUCCAUGUUCAACAUCGUCAUGUGGUGGAUCAAAUCCUAGAGAGGGUGAUUCGUUAGAGUGAGUUUGACAAUGAUCUUGCUUAUGAAUUUUUAUAGCUUCGGAAAUAAUAUCACUAAUAAUUCCAACAUCUCCUUUGGCACGCAUAAGGUUUGUAAGUUCAAAUAGACGAUCACCAAACAUAGGAUCACUAGUAUUCAUUUUACUCAAGGCAAUAGACUUAUAGAGAAUUUCAUCUAGAUUUUUCAAGGAAUAAUUUGGAAAGCGUUCCUCAAAAAAUUUCCAUAUAGUGUAGGCACACUCAAGAGUAGGCAAGAUUCUAAUUAAGUUUCUAGGCAAGCCUCUAGUGAUAAGAUUAACAGUUCUAAGAUUUCUAGUCAUGUCAAUAGAUUCAUCUAGGGUAGGAUGCAUAGGAUCAACAUGAGGUGCACAAGGGCUAGCAAUGUACUUGUUCAAAUGAUAUUGAUUGAAAAUUACAAGCAUCUCAUUUUUCCACUCAUGAAAAUACUCUUCAUCAAGAAUAGGCACUCUAUGUCUAAGACUCCCCAAAGUAGACUCAUCCAUCUUCCUCCAAUGAUGAUUAAACCAAGGCAAUGGAGACCAAUGCUCUGAUACCACUUGUAGGACCUUGAGAAGAGGUGUCUAGAGGGGGGUGGGGUGGGGUGAUUAGACACUAAGUACUAAAGUUGUAGUUUUUAACUUCUUUAAGUUUAAGUGGAGUUUAGGCACAAGUUUAACAUUUACAACAUAUAGCAAGCAAGCAUGCAAAGAGUAUACGAGCAGCGGAAAGUAAAGCAUGCAACUUGCAAGAAUGUAAAGGGAAGGGUUUUGGAGGAUUCAAACACAAUUGGAGACACGAAUGUUUUUGGCGUGGUUCCGAUAGGUGGUGCUAUCGUACAUCCACGUUGAUGCAGACUUCAACCCACGAAGGGUAACGGUUGCGCGAGUCCAUGGAGGGCUCGACCCACGAAGGGUCCAUGAAGAAGCAACCUUGUCUAUCCCACCAUGGCCGUCACCCACGAAGGACUUGCCUCACUAGCGGUAGAUCUUCACGAAGUAGGCAAUCUCCUUGCCCUUACAAACUCCUUGGUUCAACUCCACAAUCUUGUCGGAGGCUCCCAAGUGACACCUAGCCAAUCUAGGAGACACCACUCUUCAAGAAGCAACAAAUGGUGCGUUGAUAAUGAACUCCUUGCUCUUGUGCUUCAAAUGAUAGUCUCCCCAACACUCAACUCUCUCUCAUAGGAUUUGGAUCUGGUGGAAAGAAGAUUUGAGUGGAAAGCAACUUGAGAAAGGCUAGAGAUCAAGAUUCAUAUGGUAGGAAUUGAAUAUCUUGGCCUCAACACAUGAGUAGGUAGUUCUCUCUCAGAAAUGGUAAGUUGGAAGUGUAGGUUCGUUCUGAUGGCUCUCUCCAUGAAUGAAGAGGAGGUGGAGGGGUAUAUAUAGCCUCCACACAAAAUCUAACCGUUACACACAAUUUACCAAACUCGGUGGGACCGAAUCAACAAACUCAGUCGGACCGAUUUAGUAAACCUAGUGACCGUUAGGGUUUUCGGUGGGACCGAUAUGCAACUCGGUAGGACCGAUAUGAUUAGGGUUAGGGCAUAAUGUAAUCUCGGUAAGACCGAUUACACAAACUCGGUGGGACCGAUUUUGGUAAUUAGCUAACCAGAGAGUUGGUCAGGCAAACUUUGUGGGACCGAUUACUCAAACUCGGUGGGACCGAUUUAGUAAUAAGUUAACCAGAGAGUUUGCAUUGUAAUCUAGGUAGUACCGAUUACACAAACUCGGUGAGACCGAUUUUGGUAAUGGACAUACACAGAGAGAUUGCAAUCCCAUCUCGGUGAGACUGAGAUCCCUAUCGAUGAGACCGAUUUGCUUAGGGUUUGUGGCAGUGGCUAUGACAUCUGAACUCGGUGGCGCCGGAUAGAAAGAAUCGGUAGGGCCGAGUUUGAGUUCAGGUUUAGGUCAUAUGUGUGGAAGUGGGAAAGUAGUUGAGGGUUUGGAGCAUAUCACUAAGCACCGUGGAGCAAGAAACUCAUUAAGCAACACCUCAUCCCUUCUUGAUAGUAUUGGCUUUUCCUAUAGACUCAAUGUGAUCUUGGAUCACUAAAAUAUAAAAUGAAGAGUCUUGAGCUUGAAGCUUGAGCCAAUCCUUUGUCCUUAGCAUCUUGAAGGAGUUCCCACAUCUUUUAGUCCAUGCCACUCCAUUGUUGAACUUAUCUGAAAUGUACUAGGUAAAAGUGUUAGUCCAACAAAAGAUAUGUUGACAUUAAUUACCAAAACCACCUAGGGAGCACUUGUGCUUUCAGCGUGUGACAGAGUGCAACAUUGCUCAGCUGCAAGGCAUGAUGGAUAGAGGUCUUUGCCUGACACAUGAAGAUGCUAAUUCCAUCACGCACUCCUUGGAUGCGUGUGGGGAAAGCAAAUAAGAAACGCACCAGGCUGAAGGUUGGUGAAACGGUCAACCGCAGAAUUCUAGAUGGAGAUACUAUAUUUAUCAACAGGCCACCAAGCACCGACAAGCACUCAGUCCAAGGAAUGUAUGCCCGUGUUCAUAGUGAUCACACCAUCAAGAUCAACCCGCUCAUAUGUGACCACUUGGAGCAGAUUUCGACGGUGACUGUGUCCACAUAUUCUUCCCAAGGUCAGUGUCAGCAGGGGCUGAAGCUACAUAGCUCUUCACAGUGGAGAAGCAGCUGGUGAGCUCUCACAGUGCUAAACUGAAUUUUCAACUCAAGAAUGAUUGCUUACUAGCUUUAAAGAGAAUGUCUGGUAGAGAGUAUUCUACAAGGGAGGCCAACCAAUGUAACACCCCAAAAAUUUAACCAAAUUUUUGGUAAUUAAAAUUUUGCCAGGAGUUUUAAAAUUUUUCUUUCUGGAUUAUUUCUGUGGAGUUCAGAGCAUCUCUUUUAAUAUUGAGGAUAAUUAUUUUUCCUAGUGGAGCUUUCCAAAAUAUUAAACUUCUAUGCUCUCUGUAUAACUAUUUCUAAAUCAGUAGAUUUAUUUAUUAAAUUGUUUCACCCUGAGCUUUAAUCAUUAAAAUGGCUUGUUUUAAAUUUUGGAGCUCUGUUUAUACUGCAACCAGUUGAUAACUUUAACUAAUAUUCCAACCAAAAUUUGGAGAUGUAUUGUGAUGUCUCUAAAUCACUUUUGUGCAAUUAUAUAGUUAUUUCAUUGCAUAUUUUGAGUGUUACACCUGUUUUUCAGAUCUGGUCCAGUGGGCACUUUUGCACUACAACCCAUUUAGAUAUUUCCCUAGAGCCUCCACCAAAAUUAUGGGAUAUCAGUAGUAGCAUGCCAUCCAACUUUAUGCAAAAACAUAGUGAUGUUCUUUGGAAAAUUUGAGUGCAUCAACCUCUUAUUCAUUCUGGACCAGACUUGUGUUUUCUACUGCAACCCCAUCCUUCCUUGCUCAAGUGACCUUGUGCUUUCUCAUGCUUGUAGCCAACCCUGCAAAACCCCUAAGUCUAGGAGCAUGCACUCUUUGGAACAUUUUUGGUCCAUGUAAUGAUGCCAUCUACUCCCUGUCCAGAAGUGUAGUUUUGCAAAACUUGCACUAGCAAGUUUCUCCUUUUUGCAAACUAACUUCACCACUCUCUCUUACAUCCACAGAGACACUGAUCUGGAGAUUUUGGCCACUCCAAGAACUACCUAGGUGCCUUUGGCAUUUUGUCAAACACCCUGAGUGCACAGCCAGAUUUGGCAUGACUUCAAGUUUACUUAGUAAACUUGAACCCCUGACCAAUCCACCAUGUCCCUUUAGUCCCUUGCUAACCUUAGAAUAGUCCUGUUUCUUGCCAUCUUCAACCGCGACCUCUAGGCUGCCCUGGCAUUUCGUCGAGCAUGUCCCGGGCGUGCUCUGGGCGCGCCCAGAGCGUGCGUUUGGCACCCACGAGCGCCCGAGCCGCCGCGUCACGCCCCGCACUCAAUCCGGCCCGUGACCGGUCCCAGCCAACACUCCGUGUUCCCCUGCACCGCCACACCACCCCGACCAACCUGGCACCCCACAGCGCCACCGUCAGGACGGCCGUGGCGGCUAGCUGGCGGACGCUUGCAGCCCCGGCCGUGUCGGCGCCGCCCAAACCACCGGCGCUUGCCACCUGCCUCCUGGAGCAGUGCAUGCUCAUCCACAGCGUCGUCCUCUAGCGCGCGUCGCCGCCACGUCGCCCUAGCUACAGAACGGCGGUCGCCGGCAAGCUUAUCGACGACCGCCGUAAACCGACCUCCAUCGCCUAUAUAAGGAGACCCCGAGCUCAAACCCGCACGCAGGCAACCUCACCCCGUCCCACUCGUGCCCCCUUAGCCAUCAAUCGAUGGGAGAGGGUCGUCCCCUUCCUCUCAGGCAACUCCAGCCGCCGUCACUAACCAGGCCACUCCGGCGCCACCACAUCCUCCCCCUCCCCACUCUCUCCACCAGGAGCUUUCUUUUCCUCCCGUGAGCCCGUCCCCCUGCUCCAUUUUGAUCGGGAUCCACCGCGGCCCAAAAAUCACUUUGUCCCCGAAGCCUCCUCCGCCGCGAAGCUCGCCGCCGGCAGCUCACGCCAUCCCCGCCGACCCAGCGACCAUCGGGAGGACCGCCCCAGUCUAGCGGAUCCAUCCCCACCCUCAGGGGCCCGUGAGAAGCCACCAAACGCCGGCGACGAUCGCCGGAGUCCCCGCCUCUGUUCGGCCAGAGGAAGGAAAGGGAAGGAGACUGGUCAAACCUGACUAGUGGGGCCCCCUGGACCCACUGGCAGUGACUCAGGCGCAAUCCACGCUGGAUAAGUGGAAGCGCAUUUUCAAAAUGCGCCUUCGACGUGUACGUAUAUUUCGAAACGUUUCCUUUUUCUGUUUUUUUAAAUAACAGGUUUUUGACAAAACUUUGACCGGCUGUAUCUUUUUAAAUACAACUCCAAAUGAAUUAAUUCUUUUUCCUACCUCUUUCAAAUAUUGUCUAGUUUAUUAUAAGAUUUAUUUGAAAAAAUUUCAAGACAACUUUUUGUGCUGUUUUGUUUUUGUGUGUUAAUUCAUAUAUAUUCGUUUAAAUAGGAUUUUUGAAGAUUUCAAGAUGUUUUGGAUGCACCCUUCUUUCCCAUGACCUGAAGGCAAGCAUUCUGAACCCUGGUGUAAUUUAUGUGUGUGUUGUUUGAAUCGGUGACAGCACCACCGCGACACGUGCAUACGUCAUUUUAUGUGAGGAAGUGAUCCUACUUAUGAGUGCAUUUUAAUGAGUUUAUGCUAAUGAAGUUGACAUGAUUUGUGAUGGAAAUCACCGUCAUACGUCUUUCAUGCAUACGGGAAGGGAAGCCGGGAAGGCCUCUGUCUUGGGUAGACACGGUCUUGUCCCUAAUACUCCGUCGAGACGGUCAUGUCCGGUAUGGCAUGAGGGAUAUGCCGCGUGAUGUUUCUAUCUGUUGUUUGAAGUAUAUGCAUUGUUAUGCUAAUCAUGCAGGAUAUAUUACAACCUCCUGAGUCGACCGUAGAUCGAGUCUUGUGCCAGUAACCCCCAUACUUGCUUCGUACUACCACUCGUCUCUACGAUAAGUAGAGUACGGUUCAGUAAGUUGUCAACCCCUUUCCUAGCACACACCGUACAGAGAGGCCGUGGUGGAAGAUACUGGAGGCAUCCGGUAGUCAUGCCACCGGGUCCGGGAGCAUGGGUGUUUCGGUUGUAGCCGAAGGGGGUAGCUUCCCCAGUCUUGCGCGCGGUAUAAAUUUUGUGAUCCCAUGUUACGUCGAGGUUGUAGCCUCCCCACUUAGAGUUUUGCUUGACAGGUGUCGUGGGUGAUUCCAGACACAUGCGAGUUAAGCUGGUGUGUGCAAGUUAGGUGUGUUUCCAACAAAAAGACCAUAGACGGAAUUAGUCCCGAUGGACUAAUGGAAUCCGUUACUCGUGGGUAAAGAGUACACCCUUUGCAGAGAUUAAACCUAUUUGAAUAGCCGUGUCCAUGGUUAAGGACUACAGUCUGGGAUGGGUCAAGUGUCGGUCUUAGUGUCGGUCUUCGAAGGUGAAACUAUUAAACCAGAACUGGAAUUACUACCUGUGACUUGUGAUAAUUAUGAUUAUUAUUAUUGUUGACUAACCCGUGUUAUUAUUGUUAUUAUCGAGUAUCUCUGGGAUGGUUCUACCUCCGGGAUAUUCACUAUGAUUGUUUCUUUUAAAGCCCUUUAUGUGGUGUCGCUCAGAUGCCCGACUGUGGCAUUUCUUUUAAAGCCCUGUAUGUGGUGUCGCUCAGAUGCCCGACUGUGGCAUUUCUUUUAAAGCCCUUUUAUGUGGUGUCGCUCAGACGCCCGACUGUGGCAUUUCUUUUAAGGCCCUUUAUGUGGUGUNNNNNNNNNNNNNNNNNNNNNNNNNNNNNNNNNNNNNNNNNNNNNNNNNNNNNNNNNNNNNNNNNNNNNNNNNNNNNNNNNNNNNNNNNNNNNNNNNNNNNNNNNNNNNNNNNNNNNNNNNNNNNNNNNNNNNNNNNNNNNNNNNNNNNNNNNNNNNNNNNNNNNNNNNNNNNNNNNNNNNNNNNNNNNNNNNNNNNNNNNNNNNNNNNNNNNNNNNNNNNNNNNNNNNNNNNNNNNNUUUAUGUGGUGUCGCUCAGAUGCCCGACUGUGGCAUUUCUUUUAAAAAGCUCUUUAUGUGGUGUCGCUAAGACGCCCGACUGUGGCAUUUCUUUUAAAGCCCUUUAUGUGGUGUCGCCAAGACGGCCGACUGUGGCAUUUCUUUUAAAGCCCUUUGUGUUAUUUAUUGCAUAAUUUUUAUACUACUAUGUUAUUGUAUAUUCAUAAUUAACCUGCUUGUACGCAUCAGAGUUUUAUUUAUCAUUUGUGACUGAUGUCAUGCGCUUAAAAUGUUUUCAGCACAUCAUUGUCGUAUUAUACCUGUGUUCAUAAUGUUUGCGAGUACAUUCAAAGUACUCACUGGCUUGUCCCUGGCUAUUGUCUUGGCCAGAUUUUCUUGCGCGGAGAGGAGCGACCAUGCCGACAGUCCCGGAACUUAAGCAACGGUGAUCGCAGCAUCGCGAAGAUAGGAGUUAGCUUGGUCAGCUGUUCCUGUGGGAAAUGGAGUCCCAUAGACACUGAUAAUUCAUAAACCGCUUCCGCCAUCAACCAUUAGAAACCAUUUGUUGUACUCACGGACCAGAAUGGUCUUGUACUACAUAUUUUGUAUUUGCUUGGAAUUUCUGUAUCAAGUCGGUACCUCAUCAGCUAACAGUUAUCCUGGGGCUGGUGAGCACAAGGGCCAUUUUCUGGAAAUUAAUACCCGGAGAAUCGGUCCCCACAACCAACUUAUAAAUGCAAUGUUCAUGGGAGGGUUGAUUCCCAAGAAGCAACUAUCAGGUGGACCAAAGUGGACUUUUGCUCAGAUUCUAGAGACAUUACCGCCAGAGGAGAACAGAAUGUUAGUCAGAGACUUGGUUACCGGCACAGUAACCAUCUCAUCAGUUUUGUUGACGAUGAGUCCAAAGGAGGGCGUAGAAUUUCUGAAUCUUCUGCAGCCCCUGCUGAUGGAAUCAUUAUUUACUGAUGGCUUCAGUAUAAGUCUGAGAGACUCCACUAUCGAAAAUCCAAUACCAGAGAUGAUUCAGCAUAAGGCACUUAACCUUGACUAGUUACGGAAACCAAUUGUGGGCUUCAUCACUUCUUCUUCUGAUAUUUGUUUGUUGGUUGAUCAAAAGAGUGAUUCUGCCAUGAACAAAGUGUGUGUUAGGCGGAAACGUCUUACCUCGACCUAAGGCGACGUGCUACGUGUUUAUAGGCAGGGGUGCACAUCCCUGAAGCGCAUACAUCGUUGAGAUAUUACAGGAGGUUUACAUCUUGCAGAAGAAGAGAUAGAAUUGGUUACAGGAGAUAGGAAGAGAACUUAAACUGAUAAUCUAUCCUAUAUCCUGCGCCUUGGACACCUUGGAGUCUCCACCCCAUGCGUGACAUGUACGUGACACAAUAUGUUGUGUUUGACACCCUCCCUUAAUCACAACUUCAUUAAGUUGAGAUUAUGUUUAAAGUCUUCAAAACUUAUGAUGGGUAGAGCCUUGGUGAAUCCAUCUGCAACCUGAUCCUUGGAAUGCACAAAACAAAUAUCAAGCUGUUUUUGAGCCACUCGCUCUCUAACAAAAUGAAAAUCAAUUUCAAUGUGUUUCAUCCUGGCAUGAAAAACAGGAUUAGCAGACAAAUAAGUUGCACCCAAAUUGUCACACCAUAAGCAUGGAGCUUGUUUGCUUUUUACACCAAGCUCCCUUAGAAGAGACUGCAUCCAUAUGAUUUCAGCUGUAGCAUUUGCUAAUGCCUUGUAUUCUGCCUCAGUACUGGACCUAGAAACAGUGGCCUGUUUCCUUGCACACCAUGAAAUCAAGUUAGGACCAAAGAACACUGCAAAUCCCCCAGUAGAACGUCUGUCAUCCAAACAACCUGCCCAGUCAGAGUCUGAGAAAGCACUAAGCAAUGUGGAUGAUGACUUGCUGAAGUUAAGACCAAUAUUAAGAGUGUUCUUGACAUAUCUAACUAUUCGCUUAGCAGCAGUCAGGUGAACAGUAGUGGGUGCAUGAAGGAAUUGACAGACUUUGUUAACAACAAAUGAUAUACCAGGUCUUGUAAGAGUAAGAUAUUGAAGUGCACCUACAAGACUUCUGUAUUUAGUGCUGUCUUCCUGGCUCAAGGCUUGUGCUUCUGUGAGAGACAAUUUUUCUGAACUGGACAAUGGAGUAGGUGAAGGUUUACAGCCUUGCAAGGCAGCCUUUCUUACUAGACCAGUUGCAUAUUUUUCUUGAGACAAGUGAAGUCCACCAUCAUGUUUCUUCACUUCUAUCCCUAGGAAAUAGUGCAGAUCUCCAAGAUCCUUAAGAGCAAACUCUACACUGAGGUCCUUCAACAAUCCUGUUAUGGCUUCAUCAGAUGAGCUUGUAACAAUAAUAUCAUCAACGUAGAUGAGAACAAAGAUAUGAGUAUUGCACUUGUUAUAAAUAAACAGUGAGGUGUCAGACUUAGAUGGAACAAAGCCAAGAGUUUGCAUCUUUUGACUGAGACGUGAAUACCACACCCUCGGAGCCUGCUUUAACCCAUAUAAAGCUUUGUCAAGUCUACACACAUGCAACGGUGCACUUUUGCUUUCAAACCCAGGAGGUUGUUUCAUGUACACUUCCUCUUCCAGAACACCAUGAAGAAAUGCAUUCUGUACGUCUAGCUGUCUGAGACUCCAGCCCCUGGACACAGCAAUGGACAAAACAAGACGAAUGGUUGCAGCUUUUACCACUGGACUAAAUGUGUCCUCAUAAUCAAUACCAUACCGUUGCUUGAAGCCUUUUGCCACAAGUCUUGCCUUGUAACGAUCAAUGGUGCCAUCAAAUUUUCUCUUGAUCCGAAACACCCAUUUGCAAUCAAUGAGAUUUUUACCUUGCUAUGGAGGGACCAAGUGCCAUGUUUUGUUUCUUUUCAGUGCCAUGUAUUCUUCAUUCAUAGCCUUCUUCCAGUUUUCAUCAGCUAGGGCUUCAUCAAGUGUGUAAGGUUCACCUGGUUCACCUGUAGAACACACCAUGCCAUAUUUCGUAAUGUGCUUAUAAUUGAUUGGUUAAAUUACUCCCUGUUGUAGCCGUGUAUGUCUCGGUGGUGGUGUAGCUUGUACUGGUGGCGCAGAAGAUCCCGUGCAGCCUGUAGGAUCAGCAGUAACUGAUCCUGAGGCGGAUCUGGGCGAAUCAGCAGCAGGUUCAGCGGCAGAAUUCGGCGGUGGAUCUUCUGUGGCAAUAGGCGACGGUGUGCAACGGCGCGGCUCCGCAGAAGAUCCCAGCGGACAGAGCUCAUCAUUGCGCCGUGAUGAGGGGCCAGCGUCCGCUGCGCCAGAGGCGGGUCCUGCACCGGUCGGCCGACGCAGAUCGCGCCGUUUGUAGCAAACGGGCUGGACCGGGAACCGGGCCCCCGAAGGACCAAUAGGACGCAGACAGGUGGCAGACACGGGCUCGCUGGCUGCGGCGCGCAUGGUGUCGCCGUUCCCACGCGCAGUCGGCGCGGACCCACGCACGGUUGUUGGCGCUGACGGCGCGGAUUCCCGAGGCAGAUCUGCCCCCCUGCCAGCAGCGCCGGAUCCCGAGGUUGAUCCGCUGGGCAGGUCUGCCGCUUUCACGGAGCUGAUCCCGAGGCUGAUUUGCUCCCUGGUUCGGGGCACAUGAAAUAUGGCCCUCGUACAUCAUUUUCUUCAUCUUUUUCUGAUCCGUUUUCUCCUGCAACAUCACACAACUCGUGCACACUGGUUUGAGGGUUAGUCUACAUAUGAUCAUCAUGGUUUCGUUCCCCUUCAUCGAGGCCAGUAAGAGAGGAUGAUAGAAGGAGGAUUUCUUUACGAAGUAAAGCACCGGCGUUGGGGUGUAGAUCAGCGAAUGGAAACUUGUUCUCAUCGAACACAACAUCGUGAGAAAUGUAGACACGGCUUGUAGAAACAUCUAGGCACUUAACCCCCUUGUGUUGUGCACUAUACCCAAGGAAAACACACUGUUUAGAUCGGAACAUGAGUUUGCGAGGGUUGUAGGGACGGAGAUUUGGCCAGCAUGCACACCCAAAGACACGUAGAGAUGUGUAGUUGGGCUUGACAUGAAGUAGCCGUUCUGUGGGAGUUUCAUUGUUUAUGACACGGCUUGGGAGCAUAUUGAUGAUAUGAACGGCAGUGAGAAACGCUUCAUCCCAAAAUUUUGGAGGCAUGGAAGCACCUGCUAGGAGUGCGAGGCCAACUCCAACUAUAUGCCUAUGCUUACGUUCGGCAGAACCGUUUUGUUGGUGAGCAUGAGGGCAUGCCACAUGGUGUGAAAUGCCAAGUGUUUGGAAAAAGGAAUUUAAUUUCUCGUAUUCCCCUCCCCAGUCAGAUUGAACAACAAUGAUCUUGCUAUCAAAAUUACGUUCAACAAGUGCUUGGAAAUUUUUGAACACUUGAAAAACUUCGGAUCUUUUCUUGAGAAGAUAGAUCCAGGAGAAUUUGCUGUAGUCAUCAAUAAAACUGACAUAGUAUGUGUGUCUACCAACAGAACUAGGAGCAGGGCCCCAAACAUCAGAAAAAAUUAAUUGCAAUGGUUGAGUAGAGACACUUGUAGAAAUAGGAUAUGGUAAUUGAUGACUUUUUGCUCUUUGGCAAGAAUCACAAAUAGUUUCAAUAUUUCUCACCAACAAACGGGAGCUUAUUUUUCCUAAGCAAACGUUCAACAAGAGGAAAAGCAUGGCCUAAACGAUCGUGCCAACGUGUUGACGAGAGUUUGACAACACCAUAGGCUUGUUUAUUGAAUCUCCUAAGCUCCGGAAUCAACGGGUAAAGCCCUCGGAUGCAUCUACCUCGAUAUAGUACCUUCUUUGUGGCCUGAUCCUUUAUCAAAAAGAAAAAAGGAUGGAAUUCAAUAAAGACAUUAUUGUCAAUGGUAAUGCGAUGAAGGGAUAGCAGAUUUUUGUUGGCACUAGGAACAUGCAAGAUUUUCCGAAGAUGAAUUUUACGAGAAGGGGUACGUAUAACCAAGUGACCAAUGUGAUGUAUGCUCAUACCUGCACCACUGGCGGUGUGAAUCUGGUCCUCCCGUGAUACUUCUCACGGAGGGUCACCUUCUCUAGCUCACCCGUGAGGUGAUUGUUCGCGCCACUGUCAAGGUACCAGUUGGUGUCGACGCCAUAGGAUCCUUCAGCGGCGGCGGCAACCUUGUCAUCAUCUUCAGAGGAGGCAUCGUCUUCGUCGAAACGAUACCAACAGUCUUUGGUGGUGUGGCCUGGCUUCCCGCAGAUUUGGCAGCAAACGGCAUCAGGACGUGAACGACCCGAGCCGCCGCGGUUAGGGCUGGGCGUUCGGUUCCCCGAACCGAUCGGGUCGGUCCCUCGGUCAAUCCAAAAUUUCGGUUUUGACAAAGCACAGACCGAUCGGUCAGUAGAAUAUUAGCUAACCGAUGAUUCUCUGCACCGAAAUUUCGGUUCGGUCGUCGGUUCUACUGAACAACACCGAGUAAAUAACAGACGGAAUCACUGCCUCUAUGAAUGUACAGUACAGUACUAGCAGCAAGACCAUCUAUACUUUUAUUUUGAUGUACAGUGCUUGUAGGUCUGCGUACUAGCUACUACUAGUAGCCACUGCUAUUAUUGAUUCUCCCGAGCAAAACUUUACUCUAUAAAAUUAGCGGUGCCGGCUCCUUUAGUCUACUACCCCAGAGAAGUACUACUAGUACUUUGUCUUUUACACAAAAUAUAUAGCGACGGUGGUUCACUGUGGUACUACUCAGGUUCGCCUCUUCUCGAUGCGGCCGUUGGACUCAGUGCACACGAGAAGUGGAAGAGCACUUGAGUAUAGCAACGGACGCGCAGGUCGGACCCCUGUGUUUUCUCGGGUUUCGGUCUAUUCGGUUACCCUAGCAAUAAACCCGAAUUCACCGGACUAAAUUCGGUUUUCCUCAAAUGGAAACCGGACAUACAACCGAAGUUCUCGGUUUCGGUGAAUUCGGCUUCUGUGCCGGUUAAUUCGGUUCGGGACAUCGGUUUUCGGUGACCCAUGUUGUUGGUGGAGAUGGGGCGACCGCCGCGAGAGCCGCCGUUGUUGGUGUUGCCGCUACUGUGCUUGCCCUUGGCGCGAGGACGACCGCGGUGACGUGAGGAGUAGCCACCACGCCCGUGAGUUGCUGCGUUUGGCGACGACUUGAAGCCGCCGCCAAUGAUGUGGUACUGGGCGACGCGUUGGUCGAAGUUGCUCAACAUGGAGUAGAGCUCAUCGAGGGACACCAGCGUGAUGCGAGCAUACAGGGCCGAGACGAGUGGCUGGUAGUCCAUAUCCAGCCCGUGAAGAAGAUAUGAGAUCAGCUCAUCAUCCUGGAUGGGCUUGCCGGCGGUGGCGAGCUCAUCAGCAAGGCCACACAUGGCGGCGAAGUAGGCGGCCACCAAUUGGUUCCCUUUCUGCGCAUUGAUCAAGGCAGUACGGAUGUUGUUGACGCGGCUCAAGGACUGCGACGAGAACAUACCUGCGAGCGCUGUCCACAGAGCAUGCGCGGUGGUGACCGCGGUGACCGCGACGAGCACCUCUUUUGUGAGGUUGUUGAGCAGGUAGCCCAGAACCUGCUGGUCCUCCCUCACCCAGAUGGGAUGGAGAGGGUUGAGCUCGGUCGACUCCUUCCCCUCCUUGUCCUUGGUGACGAGAAGGCGGGGCGGCUCCGUCAGGGUGCCGUCGACGUAGCCAUAGAGGCCGGCUCCCCUCAACUGCGGCGAGAUUUGGGUACGCCACAGGACGUAGUUCGUCCGGGAGAGCUUCUCCGUGACCUGACCGCUUAGGUUGGAUUGGGUGGCACUGAAGGAAGACAUGGCUGGCACUAGAGGAGAUCAAGAGCUAGGGUUUGGAAGAGGAGGCUCUGAUACCAUGUGCGUUAGGUGGAAACAUCUUACCUCGACCUAAGGCAACGUGCUACAUGUUUAUAGGCAGGGACGCACAUCCCUGAAGCGCAUACAUCGUUGAGAUAUUACAGGAGGUUUACAUCUUGCAGAAGAAGAGAUAGAAUUGGUUACAGGAGAUAGGAAGAGAACUUAAACUGAUAAUCUAUCCUAUAUCCCGCGCCUUGGACACCUUGGAGUCUCCACCCCAUGCGUGACAUGUACGUGACACAAUAUGUUGUGUUUGACACAAAGUAGUGGAGCAGAUUGGUUUCUUGGGAACUCAGCUGCAGUGCAACGGAAGAUUAUACUCUAGCAGCUUAGUGAAGGAUUGCCUAUCCAAGUCACUGAGCAAAUGUGGCAGCAGCAGCAACGGUGGCCAUCCUUUGGAGGCACAUGGUUUUAUCAGAAGCUCAUUUUACAAGGGACUGAACCCAUAUGAGGACCUACUCCAUUCAAUAUCUCAAAGGGAGAAGAUAAUACGCGCAUCUAAAGGACUAGUGGAGCCGGGCACUCUCUUCAAGGACAUGAUGGCAAUGCUCCGAGAUGUUGUAGCAUGUUAUGAUGGAACCAUAAGAAACUCGUGUGGAAAUUCAGUUGUUGAGUUUGACUCGACAAACUCAUCGAGUUCUGUGACACCAGGAGAUCCUGUUUGUAUAUUGGCAGUCACUGCAGUUGCAAAUGUUGCAUACAAGGCGGUGUUAGAUCCAAAUCAGAACAACAUGACCUCCUGGGACUCAAUGAAGGUAAGAGGCUCAAUUGAACAGUUCCAUCUGAGACUUCAGUUCACACAUUUUGACUUCUGAUCUUUGAAUUUACAGAAAGUGCUACUUACAAGAGCUACCUCUCGAAAUGAAAAUGACCAAAAAAACAAUUUUGUAUCUGAGUAAAUGCUUUUGUGGGAAUUAUUGUUGCAAAGAAAGAGCAUCACUCGCAGUUCAAGCCUGCUUAAAGAGGACCAAAGUAGAAGACUGUGCUACUCAGUUCUCAGUCCAGUAUGUAGCAUUCAUAAGUAACUACUUCUUACACAUUUCAGUUUAUAUGGUGAAAGGCUCAGAAUUAUUAUGUUGUUUCAGGUAUCAACACCAAAAUAUGGAAGCAACACAUUGUCUUGUUGGCCAUAUUCACCUUGACGAGGUAUUUUCCCCUACUUCUCAAAUAUUAUCAUUGUUUCAACAAUAUAUCAUCAAGAUUCUAUGUUGAAGAAAUAAUUGUGUGCCUGUACAGAAGCAACUGGAUGAAUUAACAUAAGUAUGGAAGAUAUUCCUCAGAAAUGCCAGGAAGCUAUUUGUAAACAUGGAAAGAAAAAGGGGCAAGAGUAUCAAGUUCUGAAGAGAAUUGUACUGAGUUCAAGGUGAUUUGGUCUUUUUUGGUUUUGAACCUUCAAAUAGCAUGGGAGACUCAUAUUUCAAUUAGUUUAAAGAAUAUUCCAAAAAUUAUAUUUGGAUUUACUAUUCAUAUUGUCUAAGAUUUGAGUUAUUUUUCUAGUGACUUAAGUUGAAUAAUGUCUUCCAAUGGGUAUUUAUGCAUUUGGGACUUCCAACCAUGCUAUAGUGAAAAAAUCAAGCAUGAAUUUUAAAUAAUCUAUGACUUCUUAACAUAACCUGACAUUUCUUUUUUGCAGUGAAUGUAAGUGCUACCAGGAUGUAUAUGGUGAGAAACACUUUGAGAUCUCCUGCUUGCAGCUUUUCCUAACUGAAAGUGUCACCACACAAAUAUCUGAAUCUUCCGCGCGAGUUGUCCAGUUCAUGGUCAAUACCAUUUCUCCUAUACUCUUGGACACGAUCAUAAAAGGUAAACCAAGAAUUCACAUUCAUACUAGCUAUCAUGCAUAUAGAAAAUCCAGAUGAAUAUGCUGAUAGUUACGGCUUAUGCAAUUCUGCUUACUAAAAGAGACAUUCUUGCAUCUUCUCCCAGGUGAUCCACGGUUCCAGGAGGUGAACAUGAUAUGGGUUGAACCGCAAGCCACAUGUUGGGUCCAGAACUCCGGUACAGAACAGAAGGGUGAAUUGCGCUGGUAAUCACUGUGGAUAAAGCCUCAAUUGGAGAGAGUGGUGAUGCAUGGGGAACAGCAAUGGAUGCAUGCAUUCCUGUGAUGGAUCUGAUCGACACUACCAGGUCUGUGCCCUACAGCAUCCAACAAGUUCAGCAAGUAAUUGGAAUUUCAUCCGCCUUCGGUCGAGUCGCACAGGUCCAGUAACUUCUUUCCCUUUUACAUUUCUCAUGAAUUCAGUAGCUUCUAUUACAGCAUUACUCACGUUCUGUUUUUUUUUCCUUUAUCCUUUCGACCAUCCUUGCAGCACCUUUCAAAGGCAGUUGGAAUGGUUACAAAAUCAGUUCUCAAAGAACACAUGACAAUCGUUGCAAGCAGUAUGACCUGCACAGGUAAGUUGCAUGGUUACAGGGCCACAUUCCAGUCCCUCAAGAUUCAGGCACCCUUCAUGAAGGCUACACUCUCUGUAAGUCCUCAAUUUGGCUUUGUUUUGAACUCCUCAUUUUGAUGGGCAAGUGUUGAUGAUGACUAAAAAAAUGAGAGAAACAUGUUGCAGAGGCCAAUGCAAUGCUUCAAGGAGGGUGCCAAGAAGGUCUACUAUGAUCAGCUGGAUAGCGUUGUGUCCACCUGCGCUUGGGGCAUUCCUGCACCAAUUGGGACUGGUUCAGCCUUCAAAAUCCACUGGAAUGAUGAGAACAUGGUACAACGAACAUUUUACUUGCAUAUGUUCUCUCAUCUGCGCAGCACAUAGUUAUGUUCUCCCUUCUCCUAUGAACCUCUUGAUCUUUUACAGUCAGCGGGCAGUGGGGACCUUGGAGGAUGUGGUUUAUAUGAAUUCCUCACAGCAGUAGAAACAACAAGAGGCACUGAAGAUAACAUGAUUAUGUGCAUCGCCCUGAUGCAAAGGCUGGGGUUUAUCCUCCUUUUCGACCAAAAAAAAAA
rnacentral:lncRNA from 1 species